AGAUCGAGCUCCCUGUGUGCACCGCGCGCUGCCCGAGGCGCUGCCAGUACACAGCAGAAGAGUACCAGGCCAUCCAGAAGGCCCUGAGGCAGAGGCUGGGCCCAGAAUACAUAAGUAGCCGCAUGGCUGGCGGAGGCCAGAAGGUGUGCUACAUUGAGGGUCAUCGGGUAAUUAAUCUGGCCAAUGAGAUGUUUGGUUACAAUGGCUGGGCACACUCCAUCACGCAGCAGAAUGUGGAUUUUGUUGACCUCAACAAUGGCAAGUUCUACGUGGGAGUCUGUGCAUUUGUGAGGGUCCAGCUGAAGGUGAGGGGAUGGAGUAGACCUGCUGCCCGGAAGGAUCAGUGGGUGGUAGGAGAAGGAUGGUUCAUAUCAUGAAGAUGUUGGUUAUGGUGUUAGUGAGGGCCUCAAGUCCAAGGCUUUAUCUUUGGAGAAGGCAAGGAAGGAGGCGGUGACAGACGGGCUGAAGCGAGCCCUCAGGCUUCCCUUGCUGGGAGUAAGUGGUAGAAUCCUGUACUCUCUCUUCUCCGUGCACUCAGUCAUGUGUGCCGGAGGCCUUCCCACUCCUACUGCGAGUG
rnacentral:lncRNA from 1 species